AUUUUAUGUCUUUUUGCUUCUCGCUGCACCCUCACUCCAGGGAGACUCAGUGCAUGAGGUGUAACUUAGGCUCUUUGGCUGAAGUCCUCAAGAAAAACAUUCUGGUGGUCAUUUCUCAAAAAUCAUGAUAUCAUUUAUAUCUGGAAUCUAACAUGCAGCACAAAUGAACCUUUCCACAGAAAAGAAAAUCAUGGACAUGGAGAAGAGACUUGUGGUUGCCAAGGGGGAGAGGGGAGGGAGU
rnacentral:lncRNA from 1 species